rnacentral:ncRNA from 1 species
CAUGAUUAACUUUAAGUUAGGAUUGUAUAGAGGGUAGUCGCAGUCGCCCCAACUCCGAUUUGAAGCUAUAGAUUAUAUUUGUAGUUUCAAGUAAGGUGAGAAGCAACUAUUAGGUUGGAAACUUUAAUUUUAUCGAGAAAUUAAGGAACUGU